rnacentral:tRNA from 1 species
GCCGGAAUAGCUCAGUUGGGAGAGCGGCGCAUUCGUAAUGCGUACGUCGGAGGUUCGAAUCCUCUUUCAGGCACCA